rnacentral:rRNA from 1 species
UACAGAGGGGGGCAAGCGUUGUUCGGAAUUACUGGGCGUAAAGGGCGCGUAGGCGGCCUGCUAAGUCGAACGUGAAAUCCCUGGGCUCAACCCCAGGAACUGCGUCCGAUACUGGUUGGCUUGAAUCCGGGAGAGGGAUGUGGAAUUCCAGGUGUAGCGGUGAAAUGCGUAGAUAUCUGGAGGAACACCGGUGGCGAAGGCGACAUCCUGGACCGGCAUUGACGCUGAGGCGCGAAAGCCAGGGGAGCAAACGGG